ACUUCUCUGGCCAACAUAGUAAAUUAUGUUUUGAUCGGAUCACUUAAUGAUUUGGAUUGACUCAUGCUAACUAGAAAAUUAGUAUGACUGAUUUAGGUGUUCCUAGUAAGACUUGUCUGUAUUCCCCUUCAUGACUUGGUGAAGUCAUUGGAAGAAUUUUGUGACUUGUCGGGUUGACCAACUUAUCUUGAGUCCCUUCAUGACUUGAUGAAGUCAGUGG
rnacentral:lncRNA from 1 species